rnacentral:rRNA from 1 species
UCGCGUGAGGGAUGAAGGUUCUAUGGAUCGUAAACCUCUUUUAUAAGGGAAUAAAGUGCGGGACGUGUCCCGUUUUGUAUGUACCUUAUGAAUAAGGAUCGGCUAACUCCGUGCCAGCAGCCGCGGUAAUACGGAGGAUCCGAGCGUUAUCCGGAUUUAUUGGGUUUAAAGGGUGCGUAGGCGGCCUUUUAAGUCAGCGGUGAAAGUCUGUGGCUCAACCAUAGAAUUGCCGUUGAAACUGGGAGGCUUGAGUAUGUUUGAGGCAGGCGGAAUGCGUGGUGUAGCGGUGAAAUGCUUAGAUAUCACGCAGAACCCCGAUUGCGAAGGCAGCCUGCCAAGCCAUGACUGACGCUGAUGCACGAAAGCGUGGGGAUCAAACAGGAUUAGAUACCCUGGUAGUCCACGCAGUAAACGAUGAUCACUAGCUGUUUGCGAUACACAGUAA